AUUUGUUUCUUUACCUUUUAAUUUACUUUUGUCUUGUCUAGUGUUUUGUGAGUUCUGUCUGUUCCUGUCUUGCCUCCUGCUUUCUCCCUGGCCACUGGGUCUCCCUGCCUGGAGGUCUGACGUGUGUGGCUUCACCUCCAUAGCCAAGUGCCCUUGGUUCCUGGUGCUGUGGUCUGGUCUCUAGCACAGCCUCCUCUACAGUCCUGCGCUCGGUUGGCACCCAGGGCCCUCCUCGGCGGUCAUCAUCCCCCCCCCAUCUGCCUGCUUCACUGUUGUACGCCCUUUCCUACUGUCUGGACUGUUCAAGCCACUCCCUCCUAUCGUGCUUGUCUUAUUUGUCAAUAAACGUCCCCUGUUCAAUCUGCA